rnacentral:rRNA from 1 species
CACGUAGGGUGCGAGCGUUGUCCGGAUUUAUUGGGCGUAAAGAGCUCGUAGGUGGUCUGUUGCGUCGGUUGUGAAAACCCGGGGCUUAACUCCGGGCCUGCAGUCGAUACGGGCAGACUAGAGUUCGGCAGGGGAGACUGGAAUUCCUGGUGUAGCGGUGAAAUGCGCAGAUAUCAGGAGGAACACCGGUGGCGAAGGCGGGUCUCUAGUACGGUACUGACGCUGAGACGCGAAAGCGUGGGGAGGCGAACAGG